GAUGAACGCUAGCGGCAGGCCUAAUACAUGCAAGUCGAGGGGUAGAGGAGGCUUGCUUUCUUGAGACCGGCGCACGGGUGCGUAACGCGUAUGCAACCUACCUUUAUCAGGGGGAUAGCCCGGAGAAAUCCGGAUUAACACCGCAUAAAAUCACAGAACAGCAUUGUUUCAUGAUCAAAUAUUUAUAGGAUAAAGAUGGGCAUGCGUGCCAUUAGCUAGUUGGCGGGGUAACGGCCCACCAAGACGACGAUGGCUAGGGGCUCUGAGAGGAGAAUCCCCCACACUGGUACUGAGACACGGACCAGACUCCUACGGGAGGCAGCAGUAAGGAAUAUUGGUCAAUGGGGGCAACCCUGAACCAGCCAUGCCGCGUGCAGGAAGACUGCCCUAUGGGUUGUAAACUGCUUUUGUACGGGAAUAACCACUGGUAUGUAUACCAGCCUGAAUGUACCGUAAGAAUAAGGAUCGGCUAACUCCGUGCCAGCCGCCGCAGUAAGAC
rnacentral:rRNA from 1 species